AGAUCUCCUACUAUUUUGCUAGCUAGUCGCUCAUGGUUUGGUGGAAAAGCUCAUCAAGAGAGGCUGCCAGAAGAGAGAGAUCAUUCGUGGUGAAUGGAGGAUUGUUGCAGGAGAAACUAAUUGCUUUGAAUGAUGGUAGAUAUAAUCCCUUCUGCACCUUCUCUAUUGAAGAGCUUAGGACAGCAACAAACAACUAGGAUCAGAGUCGCAUGUUUAGAAGUGGUCGCCUUGGUAAUUGGUACGAAGGUAACAUUGAAGGUCGAGUCGUUUCUAUUUGCAAAGCUUUUGAUGGAUGGAAAGAUUUAACUUCGAUGAUUUAUGAGGUUGUGAAUGAUAUUUCUGUAGCAGUACAUGUGGGUGCUCAUAAAAAUGUUUUGAAGUUAAUAGGUUGUUGCUUGGAGAGCCCAGUUCCAAUUUCAGUGUACGAAUAUGUGAAGAAUGCAAAUCUAUUAGAACUGAUAAGAAUUUCUAGUGAAACUGGACAUCUUCACGUGACGUGGAAAAGCAGGUUAAAGAUUGCCAGGGAGAUUGCUUAUGCAGUUGCAUAUCUUCACACUGCAUUUUCUAGAACUAUCGUACAUGCAAAUGUACAUUCCUCUAAUAUUUCCUUGGAUGAGGAUAAUAAUGCAAAAUUGUUCAAUUUUUCAUCUUCGAUUUCCAUCCAUGAGAGUGAAACACUAGAAACGCCUAUUAGGUGGACUUGCGGCUAUAUGAGCCCUGAAUUUUUCACGCCCAGUGAGGUAACAGAGAAAAUCGAUGUAUACAGCUUUGAUGCACUUCUUCUCGAGUUUCUAACAGGUCGACCUCCUGAGCUAUUGAUAAGAAGUAAUAAAGAUCCUCAGGCGGUGAGUUUCAUAAAACAUUAUGUUAAAUGUCACACCAUUGAUGAGAUAACGGACCACAGGAUUCUGGCCGAGGGAGGAGGGAAUAAUGAGCAACAACAAUGGCAAGCUGUGCUGGAGCUAGCUCUUAAAUGCCUAGAAACAAAUAAAGAGCAAAGACCAACAAUGGUAGAAGUCACAAAACAACUUACAAAGAUUAACAGGGCCUCAACAACAGUCAGAGAAAAAGAGGUGCCAGGAAGAAUGCUCAUGGAGGAGUGAUACGGUGUGUCCGCAAGUGCA
rnacentral:misc_RNA from 1 species